AUGCCGAGAAUGAAGGUCCCAAAGCGUUAUGUCAUAGUGUUGCUGACAUUCAUCUGCACCAAUGUCUGUUACAUUGAGCGUGUGGGUUUCUCGAUUGCGUACACCGUAGCAGCUGGUGCAAUCAACGUGAAUCAAGCAAACAAGGGCCUGAUACUCUCCAUGUUCUAUUAUGGCUAUGUUCUGUCGCAAAUUCCUGGUGGAUGGGCAGCUCAGAGAUUGGGAGGGAGACAUGUUCUGCUGCUGUCAUUUCUGUUGUGGUCUUUGAUAUGCGGUCUAAUUCCACUGGACCCCAACAGAGUAGUCAUUCUGGUCCUUUCUCGCCUUUUUGUUGGUGUAGCACAAGGUUUCAUAUUUCCUGCCAUUCACAUGUCGUUAACAACCUCAGGGAUGUACCUCGGGGCAGCUUGUGGCAUGCUGUUCUUUCCAAGUCUGGUGAAGCACAUGGGACCCCAAUCUGUAUGUUUAGUCGAAGCAGUACUUGGAGUGGCAUGGUCUGUAAUAUGGUUGAAGUUCUCCAGUGAGCCACCUCGCACUGACCUUCCAAAAGUGGCAAUGCCAAAAGUAGCAUCCCGGGAGAAGAUUAAGGCACAAUCAACAGGGGUUGUUGCACCUCGCACUGUAAAGAUACCAUGGCGAAGGAUUAUCUUCAGUCUACCUGUUUGGGCAAUUGUUGUGAACAACUUCACCUUCCACUAUGCCUUGUAUGUUAUCAUGAACUGGCUGCCUACCUAUUUCGAACUAGCCCUUAAGCUUAGCCUCCAGGAUAUGGGAUCGUCAAAGAUGCUUCCCUAUUUCAACAUGUUUAUAUUCUCCAACAUUGGUGGAGUGGUUGCUGAUCACUUGAUUACAAAGAGGAUCUUAUCAGUUACCAAGACAAGGAAGCUCCUUAACACCAUUGGGUUUGUUGUCUCGGCUGUUGCACUUAUGGCCCUUCCUUCAUUCGGGACGCCCUCAUGGACUGUGAUCUCUUCAUCUGUAUCCCUUGGUUUUCUGGCUCUAGGAAGAGCAGGGUUUGCGGUGAAUCACAUGGAUGUUGCUCCAAAGUUCGCCGGCAUAGUGAUGGGGGUUUCAAAUACAGCUGGGACAUUGGCUGGGAUAGUUGGCGUUGGCCUCACGGGAAAUAUUCUGGAGGCUGCAAAGGCCUCUAACAUGGAUCUGACAAACUCCGAAACCUGGAAAACAAUCUUCUUUGUUCCAGCAUACCUCUGUAUUUUUAGUUCAGUCAUUUUCUUGAUCUUCUCAACUGCUGAGAAGAUUUUCGAAUAG
rnacentral:rRNA from 1 species